GAGGGUAUAGCUCAGUGGUAGAGCGCAUGCUUAGCAUACACAAGGUCCUGGGUUCAAUCCUUAGUACCUCCU
rnacentral:tRNA from 1 species